CUGAAGACAGUCAUCUGCCUUGCUAAUGGACCACAGUUACAUGUGUAAUUGAUUAAUUAAGGAAAGAAAAUCACUGCUGAGGCCAAGGGAGGAAUCCUUCAGUAGGCGUUGAAGUGAAAGAGCAGCUCCUCCUGGGCAAAGCAACUGAGUUUGUUUCAGGGAUGUGGUUUCACCAGGACCUCAGCAUGUUUUGCCACUGCCAAUUAGACCAUCAACAUCUUUUCUGGAGCCAUCAGGCAUCAUUCUUCCGGGGAUGGCAGGGAGAGACAAGCUCAAAUGAAGAGAUGAACAGAUGCCGCCGGAUUGUGUGGGCUGGCUACCAACACGAAGUACGGAUGCAGUGACGUUCUCCUUGCUGCCUACCCACGCUUUUCAGGGCUUCUGUUUGCAAGUCCUGCACAGUCAAGUUUCUUCAGUGAACACUCACAACCUUGUCCUUAAAUAUGGGUUAAUUUAAAAGAAGGGAGUAAAAAGGGAGGCCUCCUGCACUGAGACUAGAAUAAAAACGUGGCCUGUUUGGAGGGGGGUUGCAUACUUUUGCAAAAUGUGGAGCGUUAGAAGAACAUUUUGAAUUUCAUUUGGUUAUUUUGGCCUCCAGUUCCUGGGCUAAAACUGUUUUGCAAAGCUGUACAGUGCAAUUAAGAGAUUGAUGCACUUUAAUGGUCAAAGAAAGGAAUUCUGGCCUGGACGUGUGUUUGUGAGUAUACAUACACAUGACCCAGACAUGAGUUCUUCACUAAAAUAAUCUCAUUGGAAAAUAAUUGGUAAGGUAAAGUAAAAUUUAAAAAAAUUAAUUAAUAUAUAAAUAAAUAAUGAGCAAAUUAUCUCAUCAAAGCGAGUUUCUUGUUCUGUUUGUUUUUUCUUUUAAGAAAGGGAGACAGUGGGAGGUCUAUAAGUUCUGAAAUACAUUAUUUUCAAGAAUGAAAGCAUCUGAUAAUAUGCAAGAGAUGAUUACUAUUACUUAGAAGAAGGCUUAAUUAUAUUUUUGAUCGAAUGUUUGAAGUUGGCGUAUUCUUCUGAUGGGGGAGAUUUAGAUUAUAGGAAAAGAUUUUUUCCUGUGGGGGUGGUAAGAGGCUGCCACAGGUUGCCCGGGGAAGUCGCGGCUGACCCGUCCCUAGAGAUGUUCAGGACCAGGUUGGAUGAGGCUUUGAGCAACCUGAUCCAGUGGAAGCUGUCCUUGCCCAUGGCGGGGGAAUUGGAACUGGAUGAUCUUUAAGGUUUGUUCUGACCCAAACCAUUAUGUGAUUCUGUGAUUCUAUGAUUCUAUUAUUUUCUUUGAAAAAUGACAAAGGAGAGAGACGUGUGGCCACAUGAAGGAUUUGAGUAACUAGUGAUGAUAACAACAAGAAAUGGUGAUGCUGACAGACUGACUCUCUGGAGACUUUAUUUCUAUUUCCCCCUACAUAAAACAACAUUUGAUUUUGACAUAGAAAAAAGCAUUUGUAUUUGUUAUUUAUAUAAAAGACCUUGGAUGCUUGCUAAAUGUUAAUUUGUUGAUUAGAAUGUUGAGUGAGAAAGUUUUGUAAUUUCUAAGACAGAGACCUUGACAUUGAAGAUACAGAUAAGGUAUAAAACAGU